UACGGGGGGGGCAAGCGUUGUUCGGAAUUACUGGGCGUAAAGGGCGCGUAGGCGGCGACCCAAGUCAGAUGUGAAAGUCCUGGGCUUAACCUGGGGACUGCAUUUGAUACUGGGUUGCUUGAAUUCGGGAGAGGAUAGCGGAAUUCCCAGUGUAGAGGUGAAAUUCGUAGAUAUUGGGAAGAACACCGGUGGCGAAGGCGGCUAUCUGGACCGACAUUGACGCUGAGGCGCGAAAGCCAGGGGAGCAAACGGG
rnacentral:rRNA from 1 species